GAACGCUGGCGGCAGGCCUAACACAUGCAAGUCGAACGAAGCCUUCGGGCUUAGUGGCGGACGGGUGAGUAACGCGUGGGAACGUGCCCUUUGGUACGGAAUAGCCCUGGGAAACUGGGAGUAAUACCGUAUGUGCCCUUCGGGGGAAAGAUUUAUCGCCAAAGGAUCGGCCCGCGUUGGAUUAGGUAGUUGGUGGGGUAAUGGCCCACCAAGCCGACGAUCCAUAGCUGGUUUGAGAGGAUGAUCAGCCACACUGGGACUGAGACACGGCCCAGACUCCUACGGGAGGCAGCAGUGGGGAAUCUUAGACAAUGGGGGAAACCCUGAUCUAGCCAUGCCGCGUGAUCGAUGAAGGCCUUAGGGUUGUAAAGAUCUUUCAGAUGGGAAGAUAAUGACGGUACCAUCAGA
rnacentral:rRNA from 1 species